GAUCAAAUCAAGCGCGAGAAGGGCGUUUGGUGGAUGCCUUGGCAGCAAGAGGCGAUGAAGGACGUGAUACUCUGCGAUAAGUCAUGGGGAGCUGAGAAUGAGCUUUGAUCCAUGAAUCUCCGAAUGGGGAAACCCACCUGAAUGUCGGUUAUGAUUGCCUGAUGGCACUUCUUAAUCGGCAUAACCAGGUACUUUACUCCUGAAUACAUAGGGGGUUUAGAGCGAACCCGGGGAACUGAAACAUCUAAGUACCCGGAGGAAAGGAAAUCAACGAUACUCCGUUAGUAGUGGCGAGCGAACGCGGACCAGCCGAGCCGUGAGAACGAGUGGAAUGGUCUGGAAAGGCCAGCGAUAUGGGUGACAGCCCCGUACACGA
rnacentral:rRNA from 1 species